ensembl:snoRNA
AGUGAUGUCUUUUCUCACUAUGGUCUGUGGAUGCCACAGUGAGCAGUGCCAAUGAUGGCAAAGGCUCAACAGAAACUCAGAG